UGAGUGAGUGAGUGAGUGAGUGAGUGAGUGAUGAGUUGGUACUGCUUAACGCCGCCUCAGCAAUCUUAAAGUUAUUUGCAACGAGGCACCUACUAUUAUUCCACCCUUAUUUCAAACAUUGUCAUCGAAGGACUAUAGAGUGAGUGAGUGAAAACAAACAUCGGCAAUAGUUUAAGUUUAUUGUGAGAAAGUUACACAUGAAAAAUAAAUAUAUUUAGGCUAAAUAAAAAAUAUAUCGAAAAGGGACAGCACAAUUCAACAUAAAAGUGGGGCCAGGGUGACAUAUCGACAAUAUUUCAGCCACUUUUUGGCCCAAAACUGUGUUGCAUUAACAUACAUAAAAUUCUAUUUUAUAUUGACUUGUACUCACAAUGAUGUAUAAUUGUAUUUGAGAAAACUGUACUUCAUAUUCUGUGACUACAGCUCAAAUAAAGAAUGAAAUGGU